AUGAACGCUUGGCAGCAGCGUGCUGAUGAUUACUCCCUCAUUCAGUGCAGCAUGCUUUACAGCUUAGAACCGGGUCUCCAAAAGCGUUUUGAGAAACAUGGAGCAUAUGAGAUGUUCGAGGAGCUGAAAUUGGUUUUCCAAGCCCAUGCCCGGGUCGAGAGAUAUGAUGUCUCCGACAAGUUCUUCAGCUGUAAAAUGGAGGAGAAUAGUUCUGUUAGUGAGCACAUACUCAGAAUGUCUGGGUUGCACAACCGCUUGACUCAGCUGGGAGUUAAUCUCCCGGAUGACGCGGUCAUUGACAGAAUCCUUCAGUCGCUUCCACCAAGCUUCAAGAGCUUUGUGAUGAACUACAAUAUGCAGGGGAUGGAAAAGACCAUUCUUGAGGUAUAUUCGAUGCUGAAAUCAGCGGAGGUGGAAAUCAGAAAAGAACAUCAAGUGUUGAUGGUGAAUAAAACCACUAAGUUCAAGAAGGGCAAGGGUAAG
rnacentral:rRNA from 1 species